rnacentral:rRNA from 1 species
AACGCGAAGAACCUUACCUGGGUUGAACUACGCAGGAAAAGCCGCAGAGAUGCGGUGUCCGCAAGGGCCUGCGAUAGGUGGUGCAUGGCUGUCGUCAGCUCGUGUCGUGAGAUGUUGGGUUAAGUCCCGCAACGAGCGCAACCCUUGUCCUAUGUUGCCAGCGGGUAAUGCCGGGGACUCGUAGGAGACUGCCGGGGUCAACUCGGAGGAAGGUGGGGAUGACGUCAAGUCAUCAUGCCCCUUACGUCCAGGGCUGCACACAUGCUACAAUGGCCGGUACAAAGGGCUGCUAUCCCGCGAGGGUGAGCGAAUCCCAAAAAGCCGGUCUCAGUUCGGAUCGUAGUCUGCAACUCGACUACGUGAAGUCGGAGUCGCUAGUAAUCCCGGAUCAGCAACGCCGGGGUGAAUACGUUCCCGGGCCUUGUA